rnacentral:rRNA from 1 species
UACGGAGGGUGCAAGCGUUAUCCGGAUUCACUGGGUUUAAAGGGUGCGUAGGCGGGUUGGUAAGUCAGUGGUGAAAUCUUCAAGCUUAACUUGGAACUGCCGUUGAUACUAUCAAAUCUUGAAUGUUGUGGAGGUAAGCGGAAUAUGUCAUGUAGCGGUGAAAUGCUUAGAUAUGACAUAGAACACCGAUAGCGAAGGCAGCUUGCUACACAAAAAUUGACGCUGAGGCACGAAAGCGUGGGGGAUCAAA